CCUACGGGUGGCAGCAGUGAGGAAUAUUGGUCAAUGGGCGGAAGCCUGAACCAGCCAAGUAGCGUGAGGGAUGAAGGUACAGAGUAUCGUAAACCUCUUUUGUCAGGGAACAAAGGCGGGGACGUGUCCCCGGAUGAGUGUACCUGAAGAAAAAGCAUCGGCUAACUCCGUGCCAGCAGCCGCGGUAAUACGGAGGAUGCGAGCGUUAUCCGGAUUUAUUGGGUUUAAAGGGUGCGCAGGCGGUCUGUUAAGUCAGCGGUCAAAGCCCGGGGCUCAACCCCGGCCCGCCGUUGAAACUGGCAGUCUCGAGUUGGAGAGAAGUAUGCGGAAUGCGCGGUGUAGCGGUGAAAUGCAUAGAUAUCGCGCAGAACUCCGAUUGCGAAGGCAGCAUGCCGGCUCCACACUGACGCUGAGGCACGAAAGCGUGGGUAUCGAACAGGAUUAGAUACCCCAGUAGUC
rnacentral:rRNA from 1 species